GGAAUAUUGGUCAAUGGGCGCAAGCCUGAACCAGCCAUCCCGCGUGCAGGAAGACGGCCCUAUGGGUUGUAAACUGCUUUUCCAGGGGACGAAUAGUUUCUACGAGUAGAGACCUGACGGUACCUUGGGAAUAAGCAUCGGCUAACUCCGUGCCAGCAGCCGCGGUAAUACGGAGGAUGCAAGCGUUAUCCGGAUUCAUUGGGUUUAAAGGGUGCGUAGGCGGAUUAAUAAGUCAGCGGUGAAAUCCUACAGCUUAACUGUAGAACUGCCAUUGAUACUGUUAGUCUUGAGUUUGGUUAAGGUAGGCGGAAUGUGUAAUGUAGCGGUGAAAUGCUUAGAUAUUACACAGAACACCAAUUGCGAAGGCAGCUUACUGGACCGACACUGACGCUGAGGCACGAAAGCGUGGGGAUCGAACAGGAUUAGAUACCCUGGUAGUCCACGCCGUAAACGAUGAUUACUCGCUGUUGGCGAUACACAGUCAGCGGCUAAGCAAAAGCAAUAAGUAAUCCACCUGGGGAGUACGGCCGCAAGGCUGAAACUCAAAGGAAUUGACGGGGGCCCGCACAAGCGGUGGAGCAUGUGGUUUAAUUCGAUGCAACGCGAAGAACCUUACCUGGGCUUGACAUCCACGGAAUCUCCUGGAAACAGGGGAGUGCCUUCGGGAGCUUAAAAAGGGCGAAUUCACCCCUUGG
rnacentral:rRNA from 1 species